GCUGUUUGUGGUAGAAAUGAUGAAAAAGAGGCGAUCAUGGAGUUGCUGAACCCAGAAUAUGCAAGUGCAAAUCUGAUCGAUGUGAUUCCAGUAGUGGGUAUGGGCGGGGUUGGUAAAACCACCCUUGCACAAUUGAUCUACAAUGACAAGAGAGUGGAAGAAUGGUUUGACCUCAAAGCAUGGGUGUGUGUUUCAGAGGAAUUUGAUGUUUUCAAGGUAACCAAAACCCUUCUUGAUGAGAUCACUUCUAGCACUGGUGAUAGUGAGAACCUAAAUAAGCUUCAACUUAAACUGAAGGAGAAGCUGUCGGGAAAGAAGUUUCUAUUUGUUUUGGACGAUGUUUGGAACGAGAAAUAUGUUGAUUGGGAAGAGUUGAGAAGUCCUUUCAAUUCUGGGGCGAAAAACAGCAAGAUUGUUGUAACAACGCGCAGUGAAAAUGUGGCAUCCAUUAUGAGGACUGUUCCAACUUAUCAUCUUCAUAUCUUAUCAGAUGAGGAUUGCUGGUCGUUAUUUGCAAAACAUGCAUUUGUUAAUACAAGCCCAAGCAUGUCUCCAAAUUUGAAAGAAAUCGGUGAAGCAAUUGCCAAAAGAUGCAAAGGCCUCCCUUUAGCAGCAAAGACACUUGGAGGUCUGCUUCGUUGUAGAACAGAUGUUGAGGAUUGGAAUAAAGUAUUAAACAGCAGUUUGUGGGACAUAACAGAUGAUAUUCUUCCAGCACUCAGAUUAAGUUAUUAUUAUCUUCCUUCCCAUUUGAAGCGUUGCUUUGCAUAUUGUUCAAUUUUUCCUAGAGAUUAUGAAUUCAGGAAGGAAGAACUCAUUCGGCUAUGGAUGGCUGAAGAUCUUUUAGCAUAUUCCGGAGAAGUUGUAAAUGUGGAGGAUCGGGGUAAUGAGUAUUUCAAAGAUUUAACGUCCAGGUCAUUUUUUCAACAAUUAAGUGGGAAAAAGUCUUGCUUUGUCAUGCAUGACCUAAUUAAUGACUUAGCAAAAUUUGUAUCUGGAGAAUUCAUUUGUAGAUUGGAGGGUGGUGAUAAACGUUCAUGUAAAAUAAUUAAGAAGACUCGUUAUUUAUCCAAUGUCCAAGAAGAAUACGAUGUACUUCAAAAAUUUGAAGCUUUACCUGAAGCAAAAGGUUUGCAUACAUUCUUAACUUUAAAGUCACAGGCAUGGUGUUGUUAUGUUACCAAUGUGAUUAUAGAUGAUUUGAUAGUACAAUUGAGAUACUUACGAGUGCUUUCUUUGGCUUGCUAUAAAAAUAUCAAUGAGUUAUCAGAAGAAAUUAGAAAAUUAAAGCAGCUGCGUUAUUUGGAUUUAUCCGAAACUUCAAUUGAAAGAUUACCGAACUCUUUGACUACAUUGUAUAAUUUACAAACAUUACUCUUAUUUAAGUGCAAAAAGCUUGUUGAGUUGCCUGAAGACAUGGGAAGAUUGAUCAACAUGCAUCAUCUUGAUAUCAGGGGUACCAAGUUAGUAAGGAUGCCACCAGGAAUGGAUAAAUUGAAAGAUCUUCGAACAUUAACAGAUUUUGUUUUGGGUGAGCAAAAAGGUUCAAGCAUAAGUGAGUUGGGAAAGCUCAAGGAUCUACGUGGAAGACUUGCCAUUUCAAAUUUACAAAAUGUUGUUUGCCAUAGGGAUGCCAAAGAUGCCAAUUUGGAAGAGAUGAUCAACCUUAGGGAGUUGGAGUUGAAAUGGAGUGAGGAUUGUCAUACUAAUGAAGAUUCAAAGCAUGAUAGAGAAAUACUUGAACAACUGGAGCCUCACACAAACUUGGAGCAUCUUGGUAUUGAGUUUUAUAGAGGUACAAGAUUUCCGGAAUGGGUGGGGCAUUCUUCCUUCUCGAAUCUAGUGUCUUUGCACUUGAGCGGUUGUAAAUUUUGCUUGUUCUUGCCACCGCUUGGGCGAUUAUCAUCUUUGAAAUCUCUCUCCAUUAGUGGGUUUUCUGAAGUAGUAACAGUGGGUGAUGAGUUCUAUGGGCAGGGUGAUGCUUCGAGUAAACCAUUUGGAUCUCUUGAAAUUCUAAGUUUCACAGAUAUGUCAGAGUGGGAAGAAUGGUUUUGCUUGAAUGACGGAGCUUUCCCUCUUCUCCAAGAGUUAUACAUAGAAUAUUGUCCCAAGUUAACCAAGUCUUUGCCCAAACACCUCCCUUCUUUAAUGAAACUAAUUGUGAGUUGUGGGAAGCUUGGAGGCUUGCUUCCAAGUGCACCAAGCAUGUCCGAACUUGACUUACAGGAAUGCGAUGCAUUGCAAUGGGAGCCAUUUGCUUGUGGGCUUCGAAAUUUGACGAUAUCUCAGUUGAAUAUAAACGAUUCCAUAUUGGAACAGAUGGUGAGACACUGCACUCAUCUUGAAAAGUUGGAAAUGUGGUAUUGUAAUGGCCUCAAAUCUCUUCCUGAAGGUAGUCUACCUACUACGCUAAAGGAAUUGUGGAUCCAUGACUGUCCUGCGUUGGAUUAUUCCAAAAUCUUCUUGUAUACAUCCCUUGAACGCUUAAACAUAAGUUACCUCAGCAACCAUCCACUGGAAUCUUUCUCAAUAGAAUCAUUACCUAAGCUAAAUAGUCUUCAAAUCUGGUCAUGCGAAGGCUUGAAGUCGAUUCGAAUAGGUUCAUUACCUAAGCUAAAUAAUCUUGUUAUAUAUUCAGGUGAAGACUCGAAGUCAUUUCUUACAUUAGAGGGCCUUGACCAGCAUCCCCCAUGUCUCAAUCAUUUGUCAAUCAAUUCCUUCCCUAAUUUUAUAUCUUUUCCCGAAGAGGGUUUUUCUGCCACCAAUUUGACAUCACUUUAUCUUUACAAUUGCAAUAAUUUAAAGUCAUUGCCUGAGCAAAUGCAAUCCCUCUUUCCAUCCCUUGAGGAUUUCUUAAUAUCCAAUUGUCCAGAAAUUGAGUCAUUUCCAAAAGAGGGUUUACCCUCCAAAUUAAAAAAUAUUACAAUUGAAAGAAGUGAAAAGCUAAUUGCGGGCAGGAAGGAUUGGGGUUUGGAAACACUCCCUUCACUUACAACCUUCCGAAUCCUUGAGGCAGAAGAGAUAGAGUCUUUUCCAGAUGAACAUCUGCUGCCCUCUACUCUUACUCGUCUCGACAUAUGGGAUCUUCCAAAUCUUAAGUUUUUGGACUGCAAGGGCUUUCAACACCUCACCUCUCUUCGCGAAUUGCGCAUCUCCAGAUGUCCAGAGCUCCAAUCCAUGCCGGUAAAGUGGCUCCCCAUUCCUAUCAUUUGGAUUGACGGUGAACUCAUAAUGAAAAAGGCCAUUUGGCAUAACUAAUGCAAUCUCACUCAGGUACUCCAUCCAGUCAAUAUCAUUUAAUUUCAAUAGCCCUUGUCCAUUCUUUAUAUACGUUACUUGUUUAUUUAUUGAUUUUCUUCUAAAAAAUUAUUAAUUAAUUCAGAUUUGUAUACAGUGUCUUCAUUUUUCAAUUUUUUUUUUUUUGUGUUCAUUAGUGGCAUUCGCAAAGUUUUCCUUGUCUUUGAUGUUUGUCAUAGUUUAGUCAUGAACUGUGUUGUUUAUUAUCCAUCUUGUGUUUAAUUUAUUUGCCAUAGUUUCUUUCUUAAUACAGGGAUUAACUUGUACAUUUGGGCUUUUAGAUAGAAUUAAAUUUUGCAACUGAGGCCUAAUUUGCUGUAAAUUCUUUUACAGGCUGCUGGCACCUUACUUCUAGCUGUUGGUUGCGAAUUCUAGUUGAUGAUUGCCAGCCAAAUGAAGUUCCUCUUGCAUGAUUUGUCUUAGCCUGGAGCUUCAGGAGCUCAUUUUUCUAUCCAAGAAUCCUCUCCAUGAAAAAUUAUUGAAAGUUUCACUACUUUGCAUCAAGCACUGCAUUUGUCAUUUCAAAUUUGGAUUUUGCUAGCUAGAGCAGCAACAAGGAUGUGCACAGAUUUUAAACCAAUAAAGAAUAAGGACUUCAACUCCUUCCUUCUCUUGUACAGUAUUUGAUCAGCAACUGCCAUAUUCUCUAGUUCAUACCAGAGGCACUGUCUUCCUUACCGUGUUUCAUUCAGUUUAAGAACUUCUCAAACAAAAAGGGCGACUGCUCCUUUUGGAAGAUCUUUCUCUUUGAGGGUUUUCCUGACUCCUUGGUAGUGGCUAUCGAUCCUAACUUCCUUUGGUAAGUUCUUUGAACAACUAAUCCAUCUAGAUUUCAGGAAAUUUAAGAUUUUAACAAAUCUUGAAAUGGCAGGAACAGGUUUGUUCUGUAAACAGUGAAGAAUUUGGAGGCAUUCUGUCAUCUUGAAGAACUUUACUUCAGACUAUCCUAAGCUACUCGAGGUGUUUCCCUUUUGAUGAAACUUGAAAGUGAUGCAUGGGGGCAUUUUGUGGGUUAACUUCCAAUUGCAGCAAUCCAUGAAAUUGGAGUUGGUUGAAUUUCAUUCACUGCCUUUUCAGGAAUGCUUUGUUGUUUGCACAAGGUGAAAAAUUAGAGAUUUGCAAUGCUCCCAACUCAAGGAACUAUUACUGUCAAUCCUAUGAAAAGGUGGAUAGCUCCCUAAUUCACUCUGGUAUCCUUAUGCAUCCUUAUUGCUAGUGUUAAUUAUGAACUCAUCUUUUUAUGUUUCAUUUCUACUUCAGUUUUCAUUUUGUGCCCAACUUAAUGUGCCAUGGUUUACUUGCAUGUUCUAGAACCUUCUUUCACAUAUGUCUAUUUGGUAUCCUGCAUAUACUGAUCAUUGCUGUAACUUAUCUCAUUAAUUUUUACCAGGCUUUUCAUCCUUAUGUUCUCUGCCAAAUUUGAGGGUUUUUUGUGGCAAUCUGGUGGUCGCUAUUGUGAUCCACAUGCAUGGCAUGAGCCUCAUAUUUCUUGCAAUCUUUCUGAAGACUUGCUUCCCUGUUCUGUUUAGCGCAAUUUUUGUAUAGUUAUAAACUAAAAAGUUGGAGACAGAGAGGCUGUAUUUUCAGGUAUGAUUGAAACCAAAUUGGCUUUCCUUUUUUUUUUUUCCUUUUCAAUUUCAACUUUCAUAAUGGAUGAAGUAAUUUAUCAGUCAAUAAUUGAUCAUUACACAUCCCUAACACAGAAUUUUUAUUCACACACAUCCCUGUGAUAAUGUGAAAACUGUCCUCUACUUCUUGUAAAUCCUGAUAUGUGGUUUGUUUUACUUCUGAAUCCAUUGGGUGUAGUUGCAUUGACUUUAUAGUAUAUUCAUUUGUGCCUUUAUUGGUUGUUAAUGCAGAAGGUUUGUGUACUAUGUUUUUGCAUUUCCUUAUAAUUCCUUCGCAUGUUUGUUAGGGUAUGAGCCAUGAAUUGUGCUGUUUGUUUAUUUUACUUUUUCUUUUCCUUCAUUUUGUUGUUGCUGCAGAAUUGCUCACAUUGCUCUUAUUGUUUUGGAAUUUUACACUUGAGAAGAUGGAUUGGGAUUUCAUAUGUAGUAGAAAUAUGUCAUAAUACUAAUGAAUAUAUGAGUUAUAUAAUUACACUCAAAUACAUGGAUUCAUAACAUUACUCAAGUAGUGAAUUAAAAUACCUCAAUAUACAAUUGAAUUCCAUAUGCAUUCUUUUAUACACUCCUAUAUGUAAUGACUAUACUAUUCUCCAAAAAACUGUAGUGACUAAACUCAUCCUCACAAAAAUGAAGAACAAAUCAAACUCAAAAUUCACCUUCUCAGAGUACUUGCUUCAAAAUGAAGCCUUAAGGUUUUGAUAACUCUUGAAACGGCAGGAACGGGUUUUUUCUGAGAACAAUGAAGAUGUGGGGGCACUUUCUCAUCUUGAAGAGCUUUACUUAAGACUGUCCUAAGCUAAUUGAGGUCCUGCUCUUCCAACGAAACUUGAGGAUAAUGAAUGGGGGCAGACUGGAGGUUAACUUCCAAUUGCAUAAUCCAUGAAUCAGAGUCGGCUGACUUUGGUUUGCUACGUGUAACCAGGAAUCUCCUCCCUUCUUCCACACUGUCCUGAAGAGUAACUAGGACAUAUCUGCACAAGGUGAAAAUAAGGGAAUGGAAUAUUCCCAAGUCAAGGCACUAGUAUGUUGUCAUUUCUAUGAAGAGUUGGAUAGCUUCUUAAUUCACUCUGGUAUUAUUAUUUGCAGUUGUUAUUAUUUGUGUUAAUAAUGAGCUUAUCGUUUUCUUGUUUCAUUUUAACAUCAUUUUCCAUAUUUUUCCAACAUCAUGUUCCUUUGAUUCAUUUACUGUUGCGCAUUAUGGAACUUUCUUUCACAUGAUGUGUAUUUGGUUUACUACUGAUCAUAUCUGUUUCAUGUCUUAUGAUUUCUUACCAGGUAUUUUAUCCUUAUUUUGCCAAAUCUUACGGGUUUUGUAUUAGCAACUGUGGUCAACAAGCAUGGUAUCAUUCUCAAAUUUCUUGCAAUCUUUCUGAAGACUUGCUGGCGUGUUCUGUCUAACACAUUUGUCUUAUUGUUCUAAAUUAAAAAGUUGAUGAAAGAGAAGCCAUGUUUUAAGAUGGUAACAUAACCUGGUAGCCUUUUGUUUUCUUUUAAAUUCAGCCUAUUCAAUGGAUCAAGAAACUUUUCUCAGUAAUUGAUUAUUAUGCAUCACUAACGAAAUUUUAUUUACAUACAUUCCCGUGUUUUUUUUUGGAAAAAUGGAAGUAUAUAUUGCUGAACUUUUGAUGCAUACAGCAUGUUAUAACUUAUUACAAGAAUAUUUCAAAUUUUAAGUAACAUGCAUUACAAAAAACUGCAGCUUGAAGAAAUGUCACCAUUAUCUAUGAGGACUACCAUUCGGUUGUCUUUCAGAACUUCAUGUUUUCUUGUAUCAACAUACACACAUUCCUGUGUUAACAUGUGAAUAUUGUCCUUUCCUUCAUGCAAAUUAGGAGAUUUAGUUUGUUUCACUUCUGAAUUCAUUUGGUAUACUUUCGUUGACUUUUUUGUAUAUUCAUUUGUGCAUUUAUAGGUUGUACAUGGAGAAGAAGUGCAAUAGGCCUCCAUUCACUGAAGUGAGAAAGGCAAAGAAUAUUGGCAUCAAGUACUUGCGAAACAAGCUUUAGUUAUCAAAAUGGAGAAAAUGUCAGUACCUUCUGUUUCUUUCAAUUCACAAUGACAUUUUCUUCUGCAAAACAACAAUUCAAAUUCUUCUCAACUUUACGAACAGUGAAAGAUUUAAGGUAUUCACUUUGCAUGAAUGUUCUUGAAUAUGAUAAUCACUUUAUACAGGAAAAAGGAAUGUUAAUAUUGCAUGGUUUCCAGCAGAUUUAGAUGUUGUUCAUAAGUAUUCAUUGAAAUAGACAUUUUGCAUUGUCAUAUUAUAUCAUCACUGGGUGAUUUUCAGUAUUUUCCCUUUCAACGGUGACUCUGAAUUGCUUAGUUCUCUUUAAUAUUGUGGCUUCUAGAGUGAGAGUGGCAAACUUCACCCAGUUCUCUGGAAAAUUUAGAGCCUUGUGAUCAGAUGACUAGAGUUGGACAGGUCCUUGUUCCUUGUCUCCAUAAGUUUUCAUUGAAGUAGGGAUUUUGCACUGUCAUAUUAUAUAUCACUAGGUGAUUUUUAUUAUUUUCCCUUUCAACAGUGACUAUGAAUUGCUUAGCUCUCCUUAAUAUCAUGGCAUCAAGAGGGAGAGUGGCAAGAUUUCACCCAAUUCUCUGUAAAAUUUACAACCUUGUGAGCAAAUGACUAAAGUUGGCCAGGUCAUUGUUCCUUGUCUUCAUAAGUUUUCAUUGAGGUAGACAUUUUUCACUGAUAUUAAAUCAUCACUUGGUGAUUUCCAUCAUUUUCCCUUUCAAUGGUGACUCUGAAUUGCUUAGUUCUCUUUAAUAUUGUUUCAUUUAUCCUUUCAGAGCUUUUCAAGUUAUUGAGAUGUACUAUCAAAGUUUGAAGAAUGUCCAGUAUCUCAGAAACAUGAUGAAGGCAGGGUAAGCCUAUGCUUUCUGUUGGUAUACUCUACAAAGAUGUGCUUUUCAUUGUACCAUUAGGCUUAAAACUAGUCCCAAGUCAUGUCUCAUCACUUGCUAUUUGUUGUCUCUUUGAUUCUUUGUAGCUAAUUAAAAAGUAUUUUACAACAUUCUUAACAGAUAUCAUAUCCAGUAUAUUCUUCUCUUGGUCUUCCACUAAUGGACCUACAAAGCUAUAUACAAGAAAUCAAAUGCAGGUAACUCAUGCCACUAACUUAUUAUGAGUAUCAAAAUUGUGAAGGUCCUUUUUUAAUGAAAUUUCAUACUAGUUUCAAGUUCAAAAGCUACGGCAACUAGGUUAACUGCACGUUACAAUUAUUAGAAGAAAUUUUGUAACUUGUACAAAUACUUUUGUAGGACGUCAAGCACAACUAAGGCUAGCAUUGAUGCUUGACUAGUUAGUGACUUGUGCUUCCUCAGAUAUAAAGUAGACCUGCAACUUGUUCUCUUCGAUUGCAGUAGUGCUAACUGUUCUGGGCUACCAGUUACUAUUUGAGGGAUGCAUCAUCCCUUGCUUCCUAUUACUUCUGAAAUUCUGUUGCAAAUUUGAGUUAAUUAUUUUCAUUUAGUUGAGUUCCUUUAGCAUCCAAAUUUUCUUUGUUCUAGAGCUAACAAAGAAGCUUACUUUCCUCCAGAUAUAGGCACCAAUUACAUGAAAUUUCAAGUGGUCUACUACUGGCUACAGCUGGAGGUUGAAUGUCUUUGCAGCAAGUUCAGUAUGUUUCAUUUCAAAUUUGGGCUUUGUCAAAGCAAUAUAGAGGAUGAUCGUACAUUAUUGGUAGACUUCAACUUGGUGGACAAUAAGGAAAUCGACUCCACGUCAAUAACAACUACAGCAUCCGGUCCAUGCCAGGCAGGCAUUUUGAAACGCAAGUAGCGCUCUACACAUUCAACAGGAAGGAGGGAUCGGAAAGUAAAGAAGAAGGCCUUUCAAAACACAUUCUGUAUGCAUGUAUGGGCAAAAUCCUGUUCUUAUACAUGAUAAGGUCUGGUGGUCAGUAAUGCUUGUUUGAAGUCAGAUGUGAAUUGCAAUCUGGAUUCCUUCUAUAUGUUUCCCAUUUUUAACCCAUGAUGCGUUUUACUCAUACAAUUUUAUUUUUCUUUCCCUGUUCAAUUGUUAAUUGCAUGUACAGUUUUGGCAACAUCAUGGCCCAAAUGACUCUACAUAGUUGGAGCUUUGAAGACAUUAUCUUGUAUUAUCAUUGCUUAUCAUCCAUUCAAAUGCAGUUUUUUCUAUUAUCUUUAUUUAUUUAUUUUGUUUCUGAGCAAUAAAAGGUAGAAGUGAAGCAAAUUUUAAGUUGUUUGCCUACUUGGUUGAAUGCUAAGCUCAUGGUGAAUUGGUUAGCUAUAAUGAAAGUAUGAACUAACUUUUAGUGAAGUAAAAUAUUUUAAUGUAGUUAAAAGUUCAACUGGCUUGGAACCAAUGAUCAUACAUUAAAUUAUCUACCAUAAGCUAUGGAUGUACCUUUGGACAUUGAAAAAACAAUUUUGCUUUCUCUAAGCUAAUUUGCAAAGUGAAAGCAGGUCUGACUCUUGAGUAUAAAAUUUCUUGUCUUCGUUCACAUUAUGAAAACUAUGUUGAGUUCAUACCUUCAAUUACAUAUAUAUCUAAAGCUUUAACCUUUGAAAAGUAACUUUCAUACUUUCUUGAAUAAAAUUUCCAAGACAAUGCUUUUUUUUUGUUCUGGUGGUGUUUUGUUCCUCUGUAAUUUCCUAUGAAAUUGCUACUGAACAAAUAAUUUAAGAAUUCGGCUUGUAUUUUCUAUGUUUUAUGUUGAUAGCUAGCUUCUAGUAAAUUUUUAUAUAUUUGAAGAAUUCCGUUCAAUUAUCAUCAUGCUUUUGAGAAAAUUCCAAAUCAAGAAAUAGCCGGAAUGAAUUUAUCCAAUUAUCAGGAGAAAUUUUUUUGAAUGGAAUAAAAUCAUAAAUGAAUGAAAAAUAUGAGAAGCAUCUGUUUCCCUGUAGAAUUUCCUACUAAAAGAAGCUGUCUCAAAGAAACAUACUAUACGGCUUCCUGCUACAAUGAUCGAAGUUGACUUUGACUUUCUCUAAUCUGAUGAAACAAUUGCUGAAUUAAGCACAGAAACAAUUCCUUUGCAGUCACUUACUUUCAUCUUCUUCAGAUCCCUCUGUUGCAAAAAACCAAAGAGACAUGGCCGAGGCCUUAGUUGGUGGAGCCUUUCUCUCUGCUUCAAACCGAGUUCUGUUUGACAGGAUGGCUUCUCUUGACAUCUUGGAUGCAGGCAGAGGAUGUUGACAAGAUUGGCUUGCUGAGCUUAAACAUGCUGUGUAUGAUGCGGAGGACCUCUUGGAUGAGAUUGCUACUGAAGCUCUUCAAGCAGGUAGGAAUCCCAGGAUCAAACAACUGUAACGCAGGCAUGUAGUUUUUCCACAUAUAUUCUGCUGGAAAAUUGACAGCUUUGUGAUCACAUGAACUAGACUUGGACAGUUCAUUGUUCCUUUUGUUUAUAAGUUUUCACUGUGGUGCACAUUUUAAACUACUGUAUUAUGACUUGGUAAUUUCCAUUAUUUUCCCUCAUCAAUGGUGGCUCGGAAUUGCUUAAUUACUUAAUUUUAAUACUGUUUCUAUGAUCCUUUUCGAGUUUUUCUAGUUAUUAAGAUGUAUUAUCAGAGUCUGAAGAUCUCAGUAACUCAAAACUUGUUGAAAGCUGGCAAAGGACCUACAACAAAUCAAAGCAGGUAAGUUGCACCAAUAACUUAUUAUUGUUAUUAUUACUAUGAAAAUGUUGAAGGUUCUUUUUUAGGAAGUUUCAGACUAGUUUGAAGCUGAACAUGCAACUAAUGAUCAUAUGUGACAUGAUUGCUUUACUAAUGUCAGGCACAAAUACUUCAGGUGAACAUUGAUGCUUUUCUCGUUAGUGCUGGAUGUUAUAUUUCCUAAUACAGGAGGUGACCUGUGCUUAUUGGAGGAAAAAAUAUAAAAAGGACCUGCAACUAGUGAUCUUCAAUUCUUGUGCUUUAUGUUUCAAGCUGCCAGUUGCUAUUUGAGGAAUUCUUCACCACUUGCUUCUUGUUACUUCUAAGAAAUUUGUUCCAAAUUAUAGUUAAUUAUUGCCAGUCAGUUAAGUUCCUCCUGCAUCCAAUCUACUUUGUUCUGCAGCUGACAAAGAAGAAGCUUUGAUGAUUUUUCUAGAUUUAUGCACCAUGAGAAUUUCAAAUGGUCUACUACCAGCUACAGAUACAAGUUGAGUCUCUUUGCAGCUAGUUCUUUUAUCUGCUUCAUUUCAAAGUUUGGAUUGGCAAAACAACAUAGAGGAUCAUCUUACAUUGUUCAUAGACUUUCUUUACUUGGAUUUCUCAACUGUAAUAGGCCAAUAACAAUCAGAACCUUCAGUUCAUUCCACACAGGCCUUUUCGAACGCAAAGGACAGCACCAACACUUUCAACAGAAGAGAGGGAGGGAAGAAGGCCCUUUCAAAUAUAUCCUGUAUGCAGAACUGAAAUUGAAAUGCUUAUGUGAAGCAUAUACGGGGAAAAUCCUGUUCUUGAUUUUGUUGGAAGUUUUUUCAUGUUCUUAAGGCAUCCAUCCAGUAGUUUAUUAGUCUCAGUAUCAACUGAUAUAGGCCAACAAACUCAUAAAAACAUUUUGUUGGUAAUGCGGUCAGUAAGGUUGCAACUUUUUUUUUUAAUCCAGUUAUCGACUGAAUUUUCAUAGUAAUUCAGUUGGCUUUUUGACCACAUUACCGACGAGUUAUUCCAUCGGCACGUUGGUCGAUAAAUUCCAUCGAUGAAAUUUUUCGAUCAGUAAGCUUCAUGCCAUCGGCUAAAAUUUCGUGCCAUCAUUUUACCAAUGGAAUAUCGACGGAAUGUGUUCCGUCGGGAUUCUGUCAAUAUUUAUGGUAGUUGAAUUUCAUCAAUAUUUUGUCAAUAAUUCAUCAAUAAUUUUCAUCGAAUUUUACCUACAUAAUAAAUUCCAUUGAUAAUUGUCAGUUUUUUUUGUAGUGAUACUUUUCUUUCUAGCAUGGAUAUCACAGGUAUAUUUUUUAUCAACUAGUUUUAAGUAUUAUUUAUCAUUUUCCCCUUUUUUCUAAAAAAAAAGAAAAUAAUCCAUCACCUUAUGUCUAUCAUACACAUUUUACUAAGUUACAUACUUACUUUAUUUUUAUAUUGUAUUUUUUCAUGAAUCUAAUUUUGCAUGAUGUCUUAUGUAACAAACUACUUUAUUCUAUUUUUUUGCAAAAUAAAUAUGUAUUAAUAUCACCAACAAAAAGAAUAUUAAUUAAUAUCACCAACUAAAGAAAUAAAAAACAUACAAAUAAUAAACCACAUAAAAAUCCAUCCAAAAAUAAACAUCAGAGCCCAAGGACUCCUUUCCCUUCUUCUACGCGGGCUGGGGCUGGCCUACCUUAACAGCUUGCUAUUAACCUAGCAAAGCACACUGUUCGGUGUGCAAGGGGCUUCCUAUAAAUGGCAUCGCUUGAACGCCCCUAACAACACCCACCUAAUGCCCAAUUGGUACCAUUUGGCAGCUUUUACCAUUCCUAACCCUAACUAUUUGAACGUGAUUUUCUCUCUCAUGUUUCAUUUUCUCCAAACAAGCGACCAACAAAACUUUUUGCUCUCAAAACACGUUACUCCCCCGACGCUUCUCUUGCCACCGCUACCACAGAGGCCUUAAAAUAGUCUCACUUUCCUUUACCCUAGCCUCAAGUCCCCACAAACCAUAAAAUCCUAAAACCUCUCGACAGAGCCUGCUCGGCUCUUGCUUCAUUUCUUCAUUUUUUGUUUUUGUUUUUUUUUGGAGUUUCUUUCAAGAUAGUUUUUCGCAUUUGUGUGUGGUAUGUGAUGUUAGAGAAACUAGGGUUUUUUGCUAUUGUUACUUCACUAGUGCUUUUCUAAUUAUUGAUCUCUAGGUUCUUUUUUCUGUAAAAUUUGCUCCCUUUUGUGAAUGGAAGAGAGGGUACCUUAUAGCUGCCUUCAUGGGGGAUCGAAGGUUGGCCAAUUGUGAUUCUGCGAUGAGAUUCUUGUGCUUGGCAGGGUGCGUUCACACGCUUGCCAAAUGUACAUUGGGCAUGGCUUGUCGCCAUGUCCUACUGGCUAAUUUUUUUCCUCUUUCUUUUUUUUCUUUUUUUCAUUGUUUUAUUCAUUUUCUCAUUUUUUAUUUUUUAAGAGAAAUAAUAAUAAAUUGAAAUUAAAUAAUAACAGAAAUAAAAGUAAAUGAAACAAUAAAAAAAAAGUAAAAAGAAAACUGGUGUCUAUAGCUAACAAAGUACAUUAGUGCUUUGAUUGCACUAAGUACGGUGCUUUAGUAUCAAGAGGUUCUUUAUCAUCGUGUUUUGUGUAUAUAGAAUUAUUUUAAUACUUUUGUUAAAUAAUUUGAUUGUUGAAUAAAAAUUACUUUUGUAAAUGCUCAAUUUGAAGACUCAAAUAACAUUUUGUCUCUUUCAUCUUAAAUUUUUUUUUAAAGUAAUUCAUGACUUUUGAUAGCUUUUCAAAAAUUUUAAUAAUUUUUAGGUCAUCAACAUAAAUAGUAAUUAUAAAAAAUAUAAUAUCUAAAUCUUUUUAUAAAAACACAUGGGUAUAUCGGAUCAUUUUUAUAACUCUUUUUCAACAAAUAUUACCAAGAGGAUUAUAACACAUGCAUUCGGAUUGUUUUAAUUCAUAUUAAAAUUAUUUAAUUUGAUCAAAUAAAUUUUUCAAGAAUUCAAAUUGUAUACUUUAGUAUUUUAGGUAACUUAACUCCUUUAGGGAUUUUCAUAUAAAUAUCUUUAUCAAAUGAGUUUCAUAUAAAUAUCUUUAUCAAGUGAGUCAUAUAAAUAGAUUAUAACUAUAUCCAUCAUACACAUUUCAAGCUUCUCCAAUAUUACCAGACUAAUUAAAUAUCGGAAUAUAAUUACAUCCACCAUAAGAGAAUAUAUAUCUUCAUAAUCAAUACCAAGUCAUUGGGUAAAAUCUUAAGCGACAAGUUGUACUUUAUAUUUAAUAAUCUCAUUUUAUUUUCGUACAAAUACCCAUUUAUAUCUCGUUGUCUUUUACAUCAUUUGGUGUAUGGACUGCAAGUCCAAAAACUUCACAUUUUGCAUAUCCAAAAAUUUCAAUAUUUUCAUUCUCUAACAAAUGUAGUUUUAAGAUCUUCAUUUUCUUCCAUAAUAUCGAGCGCUACAUUAAAGGUUAAAUUAUUGUCGAUGUCUAUUUCAUUCUGAUUUUAUCUUUUUCCCAUCAUAAUAUAAUUUAUUUAAAUCUUUUCAUUUUAACUAAUUUCAUAUACUUGAAUUUUUUCUGAAAUUUUAUCAAUUGUAUCAAGAGUCCUUUCUUUGACCAUCUUGAACAUUUUACUAUAGCACUUUUAUGUAUGCAAAACAACAAUUUAAAGUGCUCAUGGAUUUUAAUAAUCAUUUCAUACCAGAAAAACAAAUGUUAAUAUUGCUUUUGUUGCCAAAGGAUUAAGAAGUGGUUUCUAAAGGGAGAGUGGCAAGAUUUCACCCAAUUCUUUACAUAUUUUGCUGGAAAUGUCACGAGCACGAGUUCAGUAGGCAGAGCUCACAAAACCCAAGCAAGCCUCUUAAAUUCGAAUCAAAAUCAUCUACCAUAGGUAAGGGAUCUCGUAGAAAAUAUUUUCACAACAUAGUUAAUUUCAAAUACAGAUAAUUGCCCUUGGCAUCAUGUUCAUACACAAUAUUUAAUACAAAGGUCGUACAUUGGCCAUCAAGGCAAGUUCAUACUUUACAACCCUUAACACGAAUUUAAACGGCACAUCAUGCCUACAUACGUUACAAGCUAAACUGGAUGUGGAAACUCAUGACAAACUCAGUAGAAUUACAAAACAGAAUGGGACCCUACAAGAUGCCAAAAUUGGUUCGUCAAUGGAUGACCCUUGCCACGCAGUCUUGUGACUUAUUUAUCUACACAUGGUACAAUAAAUAGGUAAGUCAUUUAAUACUCAGUGAGAGGUGUAGAUAAAUUAAACAUAUAUAUAAUUGACAAUAUACGCAUAUAUAUAUUUACUACACCAUUAAUGCAAGCAAAUAUUCUAACAAACAUCUCCAAGGUCAAGGGCAUAUCAAUCAUCCCUUCGAAGUCUCCACAAGAAAUGUAUAUCACUAUGCUUAUCCUCAAAACCAUUCAAGUUAUUUUCCAUAGGCAUAACUUAGUCACCGAAGUAUCAUAUCAAUUUCAAUUCUAAAUUUAUUUUAGCUUACCCGAGGCUGUAUCACAUCACUCAUGAUUUGGAUCAUAAUCUUUUGAGUGGUCCUUCCUUAGACAUCAUCAAAUCAUGCAUGGUGGCAUCAGAUUCAUCAUCUAGAUUAAUCUCAAACGAAUGGCAUCAUAGUCAUAAACAUCACCGGGAGUAGUCUCAAACAAGUGGUAUCACAUUCAUCAUCUAGAUUAAUCUCUCAACAGAUGGCAAUCAUCACCUGGAGUAGUCUCGAACGAGUGGUAUCACAUUCAUCAUCUAGAGUAAUCUCUCAACAGAUGGCAAUCAUCCCCUGAAGUAAUCUCAAAUGGGUGGCAUUACAGUACUAUAGGCGAGAAUUACAAGCAAGACUAAUACCGCCAUCCUUGCUUGCCACCAUCCCUACAAGCAUACACGUAGUCAGAGGGUGUAAGACUCCACUCAACCUCAAAUCAUAUCAACGCCCAAAAUUCUCAUCAUCGGACGGAAUACAAAUCCUCAAAUAAGGCCAUUAUACCUUAGGUAUCACAUAUACCACAAUUCGUAUCUAAAAUCGCGCUUAAUGAGCUUCAGGUAUAUUCUAGCUCCAUAUCAUGUCUAAUGCCCUUAACUCUCUAAGGCAUCCAAUGUUUGCAAUCCAUCAAGGGAUUAAUCGUCUAAAGUAAUAUACUCCUAGACAUCCACUAUAUUUACUAGACCUCCUAGUCUAGGCUCAACAAACAUAGGCCACUAUGUGGCUUGCAUUAAGACAUACAUACACAUCGCACCAACGUGCACGCACACACACACACAAAAACAUAUAUAUAUAUAUAUACACACACACACACAUCUUACUCUAGCCUAGGCAUGUUCAUCUACACAUUUAUAUGCAUACAAGUUUUAUUCUAAUACUAUGGCAACGCAUUUAACAAUGCGACAUGCAUCACACGCAUUUCAAAUAAAACCUACUCAUAGUGACAGUCGAAGAUGCACCUACAACCAAGCUCUAAUUCUUAGCCUCCAACCUCUUUCAACUCACCAAAGGGUUAAAUAGCUCCAAAUUCCCCUUAAAAGCUGGAUUGCCCAAAUCUAAGCUCUAAAUCUCCAGUCGAAGUCAAAGGGGGAAAAUCACCAAAUUUGAAAAAAUUGGAUUUCGAAAUUAUUAACCUAUUAAAUUGAAAAUAAAUCGGUAAAAACAUUUAAUCUUACCUCCAAAGUGGUUUUGCAAACUUUAAUCUACCCCAAAUAGCUCCCAAAUUUCGUUUGGGAGGUUAAGGUUUUGGGGGUUUGAGAGAGAGAAAGAGUUUUUCUUUUUGUUUUUAAGCUAAAUGAUAGCUGUAACCCUUUUUAUUUUUACAUUUUCGGGAUGAUCUAUCUAUAGAUGAGAGGCAUCUAUAGUUAGAUCUCUCUAAAAAUUUUGGAUGUUGACUUUCAUCUAUUGAUAGAUUCCUCGAAUCUAUCGAUAGUUUUGAGUGUGCACUAUUGAUCUUUUUCUCUCGUGUUGCUAUUUAUCGAUAGAUAGAUUCCCUCGAUCUAGCAAUAGAUAGAACACAAAACACUUUCCCUUGUUCACUGCCUUACAUCUAUUGAUAGAUCAUGAACAUCUAUCAAUAGAUAUGCAUGUGUUCUUUCAAAUUGCUCAUAUCUAUAGAUAGAUCAAGAACAUCUAUCAAUAGAUCAUGCCCAGAUUUUGGAUUUUCACUUCUUUAAGCCUCUAAAUUCAUUUCUAAGGCCUCCAAUUCACUUUCCUUCAAUCAAAAACACUCCAGUUCAUCAAUAUUACUUGAAAUCCUUCAUACAUGUACUCAAAUAUAUGAUUAAAUCUUGAUUAAGUCAUCAAACUCUAAGAUCCAUCAAAAAUGUUUAUAAAAUUUUUUCCUAAGUAUCUAUUGGCAUACUUCCACAUGCACAGCAUAUUUAAUCUAUCAUUAACAGUCCUCAAAUGUAUUAUAACUUCAACUUUAUCCACCAUAAUUAUGUCAAAAAAUCGGAGUGUCACAGGAAAAUUGACAGCCUUGCAAUCAUUUGAACUUGACUUGGGCAGAUCAUUGUUCCUUUCGAAUUUAAUUUUUCAACUAAGGUGCACAUUUUGCACUUCCAUGUUUAUAUCACUUGGCAAUUUUAAUCAUUUCCAUAUCAAUGCUAACUCCAAAUUGCUUAGUUCGUUUUACUACUGUUUCUUUUAUCCUUUCAGAUUUUUUUAAGUUAUUGUGACGUAUUAUUGGAUUUGAAGAUCUCGAUAACUCACAGAACUUAAUCAAGGCAAGUUAACUCUGCUUUCUUUGUGUUUGUUGUAUAAAUUAAUCAUAGUUUUUGAUGAAUCAUAUAGGCUCUUAGCUAGUCAAAAUCUGUGUCUCAUUACUUGUUGUUUAGUUUUUUCUAUUUAAAUUCUUAGUUUCCAAUUAUUAAGUGUUCCACCAUAUUCUCAAUAGAUACAUGUCCAGUGUAUUCUUUACUUGGGUAUUUCAACUAAAGGACCUAGAACAAAUCAAAUGCAGGUAACUCAUAAUACCACCAACUUAUUUCUUUAAAAUUUUGAAGGUCUUUUUCUGGAGAUUUCCAUCAAUAGUUUGAUGUGGUACUACAAACGUGUUAUGCUAACUAGGUUAAGACAUUAGUGUUUCGUUGCAAUUACAACAAAUACCUUUUUUUUUUUUUGAGAAAGAUGGGGUAUAGACCCUGUAAGUAAUUUGUACUAAUCACUGAAUUAAAUGUUUGGGUGUAACUUGUACAAAUACUUUCAUAAUUGCUUUCUCUGAUAUUAAGCACAAUUAUUGUUGAAAGUUAUGUUUCCGCAGUACAGGAGGUGACUUGUGCUUUUGGGAUUACAAAGUAGACCUGCUUCUAGUGAUCAUCUUCAAUUAUUGUUCACUGUCUUCCAGACUUCCCGGUUGAUAUAUGAAGCAUGCCUCAUUACUUGCUCCCUUUUACAUUUUAAAAUUUGUUGCUAAUUUUUUAAUUGAUUUUUCUUGUUUAGUCGAGUUCAUAGUGGAACCAAAUUUAAUUUGUUCAGAGCUAAGACAGAAGCUAUGGUUUUUUCAAGAUUUAUGCACCAUGAAAUUUUCAAGUGGUCUUGUACCGAGCUAUAGAUGGAAUUUUCGUGGAGAUCAUAUUGGUGAAUGAUAAGGACAUGGAUUCCUUGCUUAUUUGAGUGUAAGAGGUAAAAUAACAGCCAUGAACUUCAGUCCAUGCCAGCCAACCAGCCAGGCCUUUUCAACCCAAGGGAGGGAGAGGCCUUUAAACACAUCCAAUUUGCAGAAUUCAAAAUGGAAUGGUUGUCUGUUGCAAAUAUGGACACAUCCUGUUCUUGUACAUGACAAUGUCGGGUCAGCAGGUUUGUGUUCGUGUGUGAGUUACGAUUCGUUGAUUCUUUGUAUUUUUCAUGCUCUUAAAGAAUGUGUAGUUUGCUUCAUACAAUAUUCAUUUCUCUAUUCCAAUUUUAUUCGUUGAUUGUUGUAAACUUUGGUUAAAUUGUGUCCCAAAUUACGUGACAUGGUGGGAGCUUUUGAUAGCAAUCUCAUAUAAUCAUUUAGUCAUCAACAUGUACUUUUUUAUUUUAUUUUAUUUGAGUGCUAAAACCAAUCAAGCAAAUUUUAUUUUUUCUUUUUAAUCAUUUUUAUAAAAAAAUUAAAAAUUAACGAAAAAUCCUUUUAAUUUUUGUUUCACAUCCUAUGGCAGUUGCCCCCACCAGGUUUGGACUUGACCGCAGCCCCAGGCUUGCGGUAGGAGCUAAAAAUGCGGUGGGUGCAUUAUCUAUUCUUUUGAGCUUGUCUACUCUGUUCUCUCAGGCUCACUAAAUCAUUAUUUUAACUCUCGCUUUAGGCAAAUAUAAAAGGUAUAAAUCUAAUCAUACUAUUCUUGGUCAAAUGCAUCAAUAAAAGAAAUAAUUAACCAUAGUAAUAUCAUAAUUGUUUUUUCCGCUGUAGAUAAAAAAUUGUUAAUAAUUAAGAAAUUAAAAAUUAAUGCACAUAGCUUCCACCCUGUCGAUGGAAACAAUGUUGUAAAUGAAUUAAUUUUAAUUGUCGAUGAAAACAAUUAAAAAUUAAUUGCACUGUAAUUCAUCAAUUGUAUAUAUUUUAAUUUAUUCAAAUUUAGUAAUAAUAACUAAAAUCAAUGUAAGGUAGUUGAAAAUACCCUUGAUCAUUUGCAUUAAGGCUUCACUUAUAGCACACUUGGUCUUUCGUCUGAGUUUGCGAACUCUUCUUUCCAUUGUUUCCAAUCACUUUCUUCGAUCUUCUUCAAAUCGUUCCUACCAAAAAAACCAUGGCCGGGGCUUUGGUGGGUGAAGCUUUUCUCUCUGCUUCCAUCGAGGUGCUGAUUGAUAGGAUUGCUUCUCGGGAUGUUUUGAACCUUAUCAAGGGAAAGAGGCUUAAAGAUGGGCUGCUGAAGAAGCUGAAACCAGCCCUGAUGUCAGUUAAAGCAGUGCUUGAUGAUGCUGAAAAUAAGCAGAUUAGGAACCCAAAUGUGAGAAGCUGGAUUGACGAGCUCAAAGAUGCUGUUUAUGAUGCGGAGGACCUCCUGGAUGAGAUCGCUACCGAAGCUCUUCGAAGCAGGUUGGAAUCCGAGGAUCAAACUAGUACUGCAAAGCAGGUAUGUAGCUUUAUCUCUUCUCUCAAUCCUUUCAAUAGGGGGAUGGGAUCUAAGCUAGAAGAAAUCCUUGAGAGACUAGAAUAUCUAGUCAACCAAAAAGGCAUCCUGGGUUUGAAAGAAAGUGGAGGAGAAAAGCCAUUUCAAAGACCACCUGCAACUUCUCUGGUGGAUGAAUCCGGAGUUUAUGGUAGACAUGAUGAAAAAGAAGCGAUCAUGGAGUUGCUGAACCCAGAAUAUGCAACUGCAAAUCAGAUCGAUGUGAUUCCAAUAGUGGGUAUGGGCGGGGUUGGUAAAACCACCCUUGCACAAUUCAUCUACAAUGACAAGAGAGUGGAGGAAUGGUUUGAUGUCAAAGCAUGGGUGUGUGUUUCAGAGGAAUUUGAUGCCUUAAGGGUAACCAAAACCAUUCUUGAAGAAAUC
rnacentral:lncRNA from 1 species